rnacentral:rRNA from 1 species
UAGGGAAUCUUCGGCAAUGGACGAAAGUCUGACCGAGCAACGCCGCGUGAGUGAAGAAGGUUUUCGGAUCGUAAAACUCUGUUGUUAGAGAAGAACAAGGACGUUAGUAACUGAACGUCCCCUGACGGUAUCUAACCAGAAAGCCACGGCUAACUACGUGCCAGCAGCCGCGGUAAUACGUAGGUGGCAAGCGUUGUCCGGAUUUAUUGGGCGUAAAGCGAGCGCAGGCGGUUUCUUAAGUCUGAUGUGAAAGCCCCCGGCUCAACCGGGGAGGGUCAUUGGAAACUGGGAGACUUGAGUGCAGAAGAGGAGAGUGGAAUUCCAUGUGUAGCGGUGAAAUGCGUAGAUAUAUGGAGGAACACCAGUGGCGAAGGCGGCUCUCUGGUCUGUAACUGACGCUGAGGCUCAAAAGCGUGGGGAGCAAACAGG